AACUCAUAUUGUUAACGUUUUCUCCUCGAGAUUAUAAACGAUUAUAAAUAAUUCAGAAUGACAUCGGAAUAACUCGGUAUCUAUUAUCCGGGUACAAUAGACGAGAAUCGUCGACAUGGUAAAACUAUGUCAAGAUUGGCCGUGCAGCGUUACGGUUUUCAUAAAUACUAUAUAAUAUACUAGCUGUCUCAUCCGGCGUUGUCCAUGCCAAAAGAAAUAAAAGAAAAAAAAAAUUAUCAUUAUGUUAUUACGGCCCUUAAACGGACUACUUUAUUAUUCGUUUUGUUUGGUUUUUUUUUUUAUUUUAUUUUAUACGAUCGUAUCUACCGUGUAUCCCAUAUGCUAAUUAUAAAUACCUAUUAUAUAUU